GUCAACUUCAAACCUCUGAAGUAACUGCAGUGCCUGCAGGCUUAUUAUAAACUAAAGAUGAGCACAUUAAAACGGUCAUCUAUAGGGAAUAUGACAUGGACAAGUCAGGAUCCAUGAGCUCCUAUGAGAUGCGACUUGCUGUGGAGUCGGCAGGUUUUAAACUGAACAACAGGCUGAAUCAGGUCCUGGUGGCUCGCUAUGCUGAGAACGAGGCCAUAGACUUUGACAACUUCAUCUGCUGUCUGGUCAAACUGGAAGCCAUGUUUAGUAAGUACUCUGCUGUUAGUUAAUCAAGAUGGAUGUACAGUGU